UCCAGGUUCUUGCGUGCAAAGUUUAUGUCCUCAUAAAUAAGUAUCUCAGUUUCUUCGGCCUGCAUGGAUAAUGACCAAACAGAUGUAAUUGCAAAAUACUUAUUGCAUGGUCAGCCAGAGAGAUUGGUGUGUAGUCCCAGAAAUCAGGCGGCACAAACACUCCAGGACGGUCUCUACAAACAUACAAACACAAGGAUCAAUACAACAUUAAUUAAUUAAUUACCUAGGCUAAAACUUAAAUUAGAGAUUAAGGUUAAACCCUUAAUUUGUGUAACAUGUACUUCUCUUAUAUUUUAUGCAAUCUGUCUUCUAUGAAGUUUUACAUAAUACCCCUUUGGAAUGCCUUUGUACG